UAUGUUGAAACGUGAAAUGUUGGAAUGUCUUUUUCUGGUUUUGAUGAAUGAAGGCAGUAGCUAGAAACCAAAAAAAUGCUACGAACUGGAAAAUCAAUGUUUGACAAUCCCUCAAUCUCAAAAGACUAUUGUGUCUUUAAUAGCUCUUACAUAACUCGAAAUUGUGCCUUGAAAACAUCCAAUAAGCUAAAGAGGUAAAAAAAAAGACGAGCAAAAGUUGAAAUACUCAUCGUUAAGAACAAAAAGCCAAAAAAUUAAAACUUAAAUUGCAGUUGCUUAGCAAUUGCUGUGAUGAGAUGAAGCAGCCUCAAUGUUACACUAAAUUAAGCCUCAGAAGCAGAAGGUUGCUCUUGCUAUACUAAAGCUGAAAUCAGGGCUUGAAUGCAGAAAAAACGACAACGGAGUUGUGACCACCAAAACCAAAUGAAUUUGAUAUUGCUGCAGAUGGAAAACAAAUGGUAGCAAAACUUUUGAGCAUAAUAUAUAUAUAUAUAUGAAGAAAUGAAGGUAAUGAAUACCCUCUCGUCAAACAUUGCAACGACAAUCGUGGGCGAAUGUAGCAUUCUGGCUGCGGGUACAAUCGAAUCUAUAAACCUUCAACACGGAACAUAAAUGUAUAAAAUUCACUAAAAUUACAACAAAUAAUACAUAUGACCACAUAACAUUUUAAAUAGAUUUAAUGUUAAAAACUUUAAAGAUUGAACAUAUAAAAUUUAAAUUCUUGAUUGACAAUAACGAUCGGAAAGUAUAGGCUCCCCUCUACCCUCUCUUCUACUUAAAAUGCUAGAGUUUGUACUUCAUUGGGGUUUGAAUGUAUCCCUCCAACAACCAUACAUGUGGAACAAACUACUAAAAUCGGUCUAAGCUUACUACGUUGAAAGUUGUCUAAAUUAAUUGAAGUCCAAAGUUACAGAAUUUUGGCCGAGUGUUGGAGCAGGCUGAAGUCACGUUGAGACUUGGCUGCAACAGUGGGCCCAACUUGAGUUGCAAGGGCAGAAUAUUCAAAACCUCGCAAGUGUUGUGGCUGCUUCAAAGUCCAAUGACGGAAAGAAGGACAAGCCGAAGGAGUGGAAGAAAUGUGAAAGUGCAACGACGGAAAGAAGGACAAGGCGAAGGAGCGGAAGAAAUGUAAAAGUGGCAAUACACAUGAAGAUAAGCAGGAAGCUGGAACUUUAAAGAGCAAGGAGAAGGACAGCAAAUUCAGUGGUUGGACCACAUACACAGACUAACUCAUAGUUCUAGUAGAGCCAUAUUUGAUUUCUUAGUUAGACUUCUAUCUUUGAUACUUGAGCACCAAAACUCUGAAGUGAUACAUCACAAUAAGCUCCUUCUUUUGAACUUUGAACGUAUUUAUUAGCACCAAAUAUGGUUUUUUUUUCAUUCUACAAAAGAAGAAUCAAAUACCAAGUAAGGAACGAAACAAUCAUCGUUAUCGUAAUCACUAUUCAUCAACCAACCAAACAAGUUUAUAGCAAACUGGCGAGAUUAACCUGUGAUAGGAAAAAUUACAUGUGAUGGUUCAUCCAAUUCAACGUGAUAUAAAAAAAGAAUAAAAGUUUUAAGUUCGAGUCUCCUUGUCACUCAUCCACAAAAUACUUUCAUGUGUUUUGGUUGGAAAAAAAAUAGAUAUACACGUAAGUAUAUGGCUAGAACUUCAUUAUGAUCAUAUUAACCUUUGUUUGACAACAAAUUAUGGGUACAACCAACAAGCCCAGUGUACUCCCACAAGUAGAAUCUAGGGGACGUAGUGUACUCGACCUUACCUCUACCUUGUGAAGGUAGAGACGCCGUUUCCAAUAGAGCACUACAAAUUAUGGGUCAAUUAUUGAAAUGUUGUGGGGUUUAUGUUGAAACGUGAAAUGUUGGAAUGUCUUUUUCUGGUUUUGAUGAAUGAAGGCAGUAGCUAGAAACCAAAAAAAUGCUACGAACUGGAAAAUCAAUGUUUGACAAUCCCUCAAUCUCAAAAGACUAUUGUGUCUUUAAUAGCUCUUACAUAACUCGAAAUUGUGCCUUGAAAACAUCCAAUAAGCUAAAGAGGUAAAAAAAAAGACGAGCAAAAGUUGAAAUACUCAUCGUUAAGAACAAAAAGCCAAAAAAUUAAAACUUAAAUUGCAGUUGCUUAGCAAUUGCUGUGAUGAGAUGAAGCAGCCUCAAUGUUACACUAAAUUAAGCCUCAGAAGCAGAAGGUUGCUCUUGCUAUACUAAAGCUGAAAUCAGGGCUUGAAUGCAGAAAAAACGACAACGGAGUUGUGACCACCAAAACCAAAUGAAUUUGAUAUUGCUGCAGAUGGAAAACAAAUGGUAGCAAAACUUUUGAGCAUAAAUUUUAGAAGCUGCGAGAAGUUCAACUAUUUCUAGAAGUUUUUAUCCCAUCUAUCUAGAAAAAGAUUAUCUUACC
rnacentral:lncRNA from 1 species